rnacentral:rRNA from 1 species
GGGGGGGGGGGGGGGGGGGGGGGGGGGGGGGGGGGGGGGGGGGGGGGGCGGGUCUGGGGGGGCAGGGGGGCGUAAGGGGUGGGGAGCUGCCCGUGGGUUGGGCAUAGCUGCGCGAGAGGGGUGCGCCGACCGGCUAAUGUCUUCGGACCAAAGAUUUAUCGCCUUUGGAUGGGCCCGCGUUGGAUUAGCUAGUUGUGAGGGUAAAAGCCUACCAAGGCGACGAGCCAUAGCUGGUCUGAGAGGAUGAUCAGCCACACUUGGACUGAGACACGGCCCAGACUCCUACGGGAGGCAGCAGUUGGGAAUAUUGGACAAUGGGCGAAAGCCUGAUCCAGCAAUGCCGCGUGAGUUAUGAAGGCCUUAGGGUUGUAAAGCUCUUUUACCCGGGAUGAUAAUGACAGUACCGGGAGAAUAAGCUCCGGCUAACUCCGUG